UUACAUGCUUACAACAUAGCAUUAAUGCAUCGGAUCCCAUUAGAACUCUACAAUUAAGUGUGAUUGGGAUAGAGUAGUAUUGGGAUGGUUGACUACCUGGGAAGUCCUAGUAUUUUAC
rnacentral:rRNA from 1 species